rnacentral:rRNA from 1 species
UACAGAGGGGGCAAGCGUUGUUCGGAAUUACUGGGCGUAAAGGGCGCGUAGGCGGCCUGCUAAGUCGAACGUGAAAUCCCUGGGCUCAACCCAGGAACUGCGUCCGAUACUGGUUGGCUUGAAUCCGGGAGAGGGAUGUGGAAUUCCAGGUGUAGCGGUGAAAUGCGUAGAUAUCUGGAGGAGCACCGGUGGCGAAGGCGACAUCCUGGACCGGUAUUGACGCUGAGGCGCGAAAGCCAGGGGAGCAAACGGG